UACGAAGGGUGCAAGCGUUACUCGGAAUUACUGGGCGUAAAGGGUGCGUAGGUGGUGGGGUAAGUCGGAUGUGAAAUCCCGGGGCUCAACCCCGGAACUGCAUUCGAUACUGCCUUGCUCGAGUACUGGAGAGGAGACUGGAAUUUACGGUGUAGCAGUGAAAUGCGUAGAUAUCGUAAGGAAGACCAGUGGCGAAGGCGAGUCUCUGGACAGUUACUGACACUGAGGCACGAAGGCCAGGGGAGCAAACGGG
rnacentral:rRNA from 1 species